UUUUAUUAUUAUCUACCUGCUCUUUCUGUAAGUCAAAACGAAAUUGGGUAUUUAGCUUUGAAUGAGUAUAUAUUGAACUGAUAAGUCAUGGGACAGGUCAUUAACCAAAUCACAAACAACUUUUUUAGCAUUAUCCAUUUAGCUGACUUUUUCUUGGAGCUGAUGUACCGCAGCAUUUAAAGCAUCUUUUUCUUCUUAAACCUGCGCUAAUUCUGUUGAUAAGUUCUCAACCACCUAGG